CCAGACUCCUACGGGAGGCAGCAGUGGGGAAUCUUCCGCAAUGGGCGCAAGCCUGACGGAGCAAUGCCGCGUGAACGAAGAAGGUCUUCGGAUUGUAAAGUUCUGUCCUUAUCGAAGAGAGGGUAUAGAGUGAAAAAUGAUAUACUAGGACGGUAGAUGAGGAGGAAGCCCCGGCUAACUACGUGCCAGCAGCCGCGGUAAUACGUAGGGGGCGAGCGUUGUCCGGAAUCACUGGGCGUAAAGGGCGCGUAGGCGGUAAUAUAAGUCAGAUGUGAAAGGUGGGGGCUCAACCCCUAGAGUGCAACUGAUACUGUAUAACUUGAGUGUGAGAGAGGGAAGCGGAAUUCCUAGUGUAGCGGUGAAAUGCGUAGAUAUUAGGAGGAACACCAGUGGCGAAGGCGGCUUUCUGGCUCAUAACUGACGCUGAGGCGCGAAAGCGUGGGGAGCAAACAGGAUUAGAUACCCCCGUA
rnacentral:rRNA from 1 species